AACCCCUUACCCUCUUUUAUGCGCUCCAGAAAGUCGUAUCAUUUGCUUCCAAUAACGAGGGACAGUGAGGAUGGCAAUAAAAAUUUCUAAUAAAUCUGAACGCAUCUUUGCUCGUAGACAUGCAUGUAGUCUCCUCAGCGUACUCGAUUGGCGUAGUAGUUCCAGCGCACGAUCAAUAGGGAGAGAUCAUAGUACACGACAGUCUUCAGUGCAUGCAAGUUCGCGAAGGGAUACGACGGAGGUGGCACUCAUUUCAAAUUAUAACAGUCCCAUUGUUAAUUGAAGGGAUACACAUUAAAUACUAACGCCGCAAUUAACAAGUGUACGGAGAACAUGCAUACACAUUGUGAUUUCGAAGACUGAACCUCAUCACGUACUGACUGUCCAGGUGCCCUUGAAAAGAAGAAACAGUUGACAAACGCACUACGAAAUCUAAACAAGUGAAAUGCGUGUGGUUGAAAAUUGACUGUAGUGUCGUGACCUAUACAUGUGUACGUGUUUCUCGUCAUAAACGUUCGGUGUAAAAUUAGGUUAUAGUUUGUUAAAAUAAUAUAAGUUUUAUUAUUCCUUUUCUAAAGGUAAAUAUUUUCUUGGAGUCAUUUUAUGGACCGGAAUAUUCAACGUGCAUCAGAAGCAUCAGCUGUUUGAACUGCAUCAGACCGGUGCAAUUAUCUUCGUUUAGAAGAUUAACGGCCAUGUUUUCUCUCUGGUACUCCUUUUUAGCGUGGAGGAAGAUUGGAUCACGUACUUGAAAACGACAAGAUUUUUGAAUUAACGAUGACGUUAAACAAGGUGCUUGCUACCACCAGGUCAUGAUCUUCCCGUCCCCCGUGUAAUGUGGUUUAUUGAAGAAAACAUCAACGUCUUCGUCCUCUUGAGGUCGCCGUGGACGCUUCAGAUUAUACAAGAUGUCCAAAGCUAUAUAGGAAGAGUAACGGUAGAAUAGUGAAAAUUUCAUAAUGAGAAUGAUUACAAUUCGAAUUUGAUUUCAUCAUAACAGUGUUACAGUGACAAUUGACUUUUGUUAGUAGACGUGUGAAAUCCAAUAACAUUUUAGUUAAUGCCGUGGAAAUAUGCAGCUUGGAAUAUAAAUAAAAUGUAGAAUAAUAAGACUAAAUUAGCAUUGACGGACUUUCGUGAAAAUUGUGAAGCUGCUAACGUGGUUGGGUAAUCAGUGAAAAUGAUUCAGUACAACAUUUCAAAGGGAUUUCAAGAAACUUAUUUAUCAUCAUUUAAGAAACUGUCAUCAUAUACACUUGCGGUGUGGAAUGCAGUCUCGAGUUUACGCGAAAUUAUAAAUAGGAAAAAUGUUUACCAACAUUUGAUUGUUUUCAAAACCACGGUUACUGCAGUAAAAGAGUAGUGAAAUGAAGAAUGUAACAGAUUAUCCGAUAAGAUCGUCGCACUGUCCAAGUAAUUAAAAAAAAUCUUGUAUUUAUUUCUUGUGUCAUACACACGUUCUAUAACACGAGUCUAUUACCUAAGAAACUCAGAUUAAUUUGAGAACUAAUGACUUGGUGGCUAAUAAUUUUGAUUAUUACUGACGUAUUUGAUUUUAUUUCUAGCAGUUAUUUUUUCGAAUAUACGUCAUUAAUCUCUACAAGUUCCGAAAUACCUUCCCCCGAGCUACUUUUGUGCACAGAAACAUUUUUGGGCGAGUGCCAAUUCUCGUGUCUCUAGAUAUCUUGUAGCUCCUUUCUUGAAGGUGCCUGCUUUUAGAACAUACAGACCUGAGCUCUUGUAUAGUUAAGGUGUGCUGUUUAUACAGCCAUCACUUACCAAGCGUCAACUUGGCGUUAUUAAGCCAGACAAUCAGUUCAUAUUACACUUUCAAGCCUAUCUCCUGAGGAUGUUUGUUUGGUAGGAAAUUAUC